UACAGAGGGUGCGAGCGUUAAUCGGAAUUACUGGGCGUAAAGCGCACGUAGGCGGCUUUGCAAGUCGGGUGUGAAAUCCCCGGGCUCAACCUGGGAACUGUAUCCGAGACUGCAUUGCUAGAGUAUGGGAGAGGGAAGCGGAAUUUCUGGUGUAGCAGUGAAAUGCGUAGAUAUCAGAAGGAACAUCAGUGGCGAAGGCGGCUUCCUGGACCAAUACUGACGAUCAGGUGCGAAAGCGUGGGGAGCAAACAGG
rnacentral:rRNA from 1 species